rnacentral:lncRNA from 1 species
GCGAAGGGUGGCUCUGACUUCCUUGGGUUCGAUCCCCUUAACCUCCGGAGGGUUAGUUACGUCGGUCGUCCAGGUAUUCCGAUCGUAACGACGGGCCCGGUACGUGUGUGUAGCUAGGUAGUGGACGCUCUCGCUACGCUUACCUAGUAAACAUUCUAUUUGAGGUAAGGCCGUGUAGUUGGUCUAUGGGACCGGUCAUCUGGUUUGUGAGCUAUUGGGAUCCCGUCUAUGAGUCGUAUGUGUUCAAUUUUACGUAUCUUACUUAUACGUUAUACGAUAUUUGCAUUUCUCAUUUUAUACUACGUUUUACUGCAUGCUAUUUAUAAAAACCUAGUGGGGUUGAGCUCCUCUACUGGUGAACGUA